GAGACAGCAGUAGCCGCGGGAAUACGGAGGGUGCAAGCGUUAAUCGGAAUUACUGGGCGUAAAGCGCACGCAGGCGGUCUGACAAGUCAGAUGUGAAAUCCCCGGGCUUAACCUGGGAACUGCAUUUGAAACUGUCAGGCUGGAGUCUUGUAGAGGGGGGUAGAAUUCCAGGUGUAGCGGUGAAAUGCGUAGAGAUCUGGAGGAAUACCGGUGGCGAAGGCGGCCCCCUGGACAAAGACUGACGCUCAGGUGCGAAAGCGUGGGGAGCAAACAGGAUUAGAUACCCGCGUAGUCCCUGUCUCUUAUAC
rnacentral:rRNA from 1 species